rnacentral:tRNA from 1 species
CUUUAUAGUUUAAAAAAAACAUAAGUCUCAUGAACUUAAAUUGUGACCAAAUCCCCACUAAACU